rnacentral:lncRNA from 1 species
UUUCUCUUCUCUUCUUCUUGCAGAUGUGGGUUUCUAUUUUUUUUUUUUUUGGAUUUUCUUCCUUCUUCUUCUUAUUCUUCUUCUUCUGGGUCGCUGGGGGGAGGAGGGACAAUUUUUUUUUCUUUUUCUUUCUUCCUCCCUCUUCUUCUUCUUCUUGCAGAUGUGGGUUUCAAAUUUGUUUUUUUUGUUGAGAAAAUUCAGGUUUUUUAAAAAAAAUUAAAAAAUUAUUUUAUUUGACACAUGGUAGACAUUUGGCAGCCACGUGGCAUAUAUGUGGUAGCCAUGUCAGCAUUUAACAGAUUAAUGGAUGAAAAAUGUAACAGAUGUAUCAUUUUGAAAUAAAAUAGUAUUUAAGGUAUGAAAGUAAAAUGUUUUAAAGAUAUUGUAAGGAAUUAAAAUAGACCCCAAACCUAAGGUAUGAAAGUGUAAUUUACCCUAUGAUCAAUGUCUGAGUGCCGGUUAAUUGAUUAUAAUCUUCGUAUCAUCUUCCAAUUUCUAGUUUCUUUCUUACUUAACCAGUAGUCACAUCGACUUUUUGAGGACUUUGGAACCGUAUGAGUUCAGUUGUUGUGUGAAGAAUGACUGACUAAUUCUCCUUUCAAGGCUAACUUGUCAUGGAGUGAAAACUUGUAUUCCCAGAACCUUCAGAAGUUGAAACCUGAUCAGUGUCGUCGAGACUAUUUGAUGGGGCAGCUUCGUGGCAUGUGACAUUCGCAUUCUGAGUCUUCAACAGGUUACUACCUUUUAAUUUGUUGUUGCAGAUCAAACAUCUUCUUGAGCUGCUUCCAUUGUUCUUCAAUUCGUAAAUGUAACUUUUGUUGAAUCAGCACAUAGAAAUAGUUGAAUAAAUUUGUUAUGAAAAUUGGAGUAUUUCAAGAAUGAUUUACUAAUGCUACUAGAAAUAUUUCGAAAUAAUAUAUAUAUAUGGCCCUGUAUACAAGGGGAUCUUUUUUUUUUUCAAAAAGUAGGGAUUAGCAGGUUCAGUGCACAUUGAACUUCAAUGAUCUGGACUAUUUAUUUUAUAAAUCUUGAUUCAUAGAUCAUCUUUACAAAAAUUCAAUUCAAUCCGAAACCAUUUGCCUAUUUAAUUUUUAAGAUAAAAUUUCAUUGUUUCUUAUAUAAUAAAGUAUUUGUUAAUUUUUUUUAACUCAAUUAGAUGUUUUA